UACGGAGGGUGCGAGCGUUGUCCGGAAUCAUUGGGCGUAAAGGGCGCGUAGGUGGCCCGGUCAGUCUUUGGUGAAAGCGCGGGGCUCAACCCUGCGUCGGCCAGGGAUACUGCCGCGGCUCGAGCACUGUAGAGGCAGGCGGAAUUCCGGGUGUAGCGGUGAAAUGCGUAGAUAUCUGGAGGAAUACCGGUGGCGAAGGCGGCAUCCUGGACCAUUACUGACGCUGGAGGCGCGAAAGCUAGGGGAGCAAACGGG
rnacentral:rRNA from 1 species